GAGUCCGUGUUGCAUGAUUUCCUUUGUCCACAAGGCAGUGAAGUCAACUCUGACCAGCCUUGCACUAUUUUCUUGUCUGUUCUGGCAAAACAAGGACUAUACAUCCACAUUUCAAUGUGAAGGUCCUAUAAAGAAGGAAAUUGUCAGAAGAGUUCUGCAGGGUUUCCAGCUCCAGGAGCCGAUGUAAGUAGGGAGAAGAACAGUGCCAAGGAGAAACUGCUGUUGCCAAAGAGGAGGGAGGAAGAAGAGGAAGGAGGAAAGAGGCAAACAUACAAAACCUCAGACAAAACGCAGCUUUGCUAGCACACAGAUGGAUAAUGGGAAGACAAAGAUAUGGAGAGUUGGAUGCCUUUGGCAGUAAGUAUAUCGGAAAGGCUCAUUCAGGCGACAUCACCCAAGAUCUCUGCUCUGGGUAAAAAGAGAACAUCAGCUUGAAAAGCUUAAAAUUCUACUGGCAGACACUGUCUGACAUGGAAAUAUCUCUAACCGCAAGAUGAUUUGCAAUUAGCAUUCUUUCUAGUGGCACAGUAACUGCCUCAUAUGAUUGCUAAGGAGAUUAAAUAAGGUAGAGCUUGAGAAAGACCCCAUUAAACUGUAAUGGGCUAUUCAAUGUUAGCUAUUGUCAUUUUCAGAGUUACCAAAUAAAAUUCGACUUGCAUAAAAA